UACGUAGGGUGCGAGCGUUGUUCCGGAAUUAAGUUGGGCGUAAAGAGGCUCGUAGGCGGUGUGUCACGGUCGGCCCGUGAAAACCUGCAGCUUAACUGUGGGCGUGCGGUCGAUACGGGCAGACUAGAGUUCGGCAGGGGAGACUGGAAUUCCUGGUGUAGCGGUGAAAUGCGCAGAUAUCAGGAGGAACACCGGUGGCGAAGGCGGUUCUCUGGGCAUUACCUGACGUGAGGAGCGAAAGUGUGGGGAGCGAACAGG
rnacentral:rRNA from 1 species